CAUUAUAUCUAUAGACUCGCCUCAUUAAAGGUCUAAAUUAAAAUUAUUUUAUUACCGAAACAAUGAAAAUACUACACAUAUUAGUGAUAACGCUUCUUUUCUGUGUAAGCUUAUAUGAAGCACAUCCAAAACCUUUCACUUAUUCCGAAAGAAGGGAAUGUAGGCGCAUAUAUAUAGGAAAUGGUUCACACAACAAAAACAGUAUAUAUAUAGAUAACUGACGAAACCACUCAUCAUCAGAUAAGUUCUUAAAGCCACAAGAAAUGGUGAACAUGAUUGUUUGUAUUGUUGUACAAAUGCUGGAAACUAAUAUAUCAUUAAUAUCAUUAU